rnacentral:rRNA from 1 species
UACGUAGGGUGCGAGCGUUGUCCGGAAUUAUUGGGCGUAAAGGGCUCGUAGGCGGUUUGUCGCGUCGGGAGUGAAAACCCAGGGCUUAACUCCGGGUCUGCAUUCGAUACGGGCAGACUAGAGGUAUGCAGGGGAGAACGGAAUUCCUGGUGUAGCGGUGAAAUGCGCAGAUAUCAGGAGGAACACCGGUGGCGAAGGCGGUUCUCUGGGCAUUACCUGACGCUGAGGAGCGAAAGUGUGGGGAGCGAACAGG